AUCGACCUUAAUGAAUCACUAAUUUGAUGCACCAACAGGCGAGCAAGCAAGUGACCAAAAUCAAACACACAACAUUUGAUGCUGCAUGACGAACAGGUGCGUGAUGGGUGUGGCUAACUGGUAGAUGCUAAAAUGUUCAUGGCGGCGCAUGGUGGUUGCGGAUUUCUGCGUUCGCUGAGCAACUUCGACCUUCAUUGAGAUGGAUGCGAUAUUUAACAUACUUGAGCAGUUCAGACUGGACUCCUUCUACAACCAGUUUGUCCAGUUGGGCGUAAAGGAUGACAUGGAUUUCCUGGAUGGCGUAACAGAUGAAGAUCUGAACAGUAUUGGUUUAAGUCAUGUGGAGAAAAAACAUUUUUCAGCGAUGAAAAACUUCAUUCAAAGACUCAGAGCUCUGGAGCGCCAAGAUCAAACUUUGACGCCUGUGCAAAAACCAUUGGAGUCGUUCUGUCUGCAGUACACAUAUCCCAAAUGUCCUCAACCAAAACGUAUGGCAGAUAUGGAUCCAGCACAAAACACACUUGAGGAUCUGAUGUUGAGGAUCAGCCAUCUUGAAAGUGUUGGGAAUUCCAAAGGAGUCUGUCUCUACACAGUCGAUGGGAUGCCCUUGACAGAUGAUCCCUACUUCAACACAUGGUCUUUGAAAGACAGACAUGUUCAAAGUGGAUCUGUAAUUUAUGCCAUAUUCACACCAAAGGAAAACCUGAAACAGGCUCCUCAAAUACCAAAGCAAGAGGUUGUCGAAACCUGUGGAGGCAAUGUGGUUCGAUGCCACGUCAUGCUCAAGGGAGACUUUGAGGUGACGGUGAACUUGGCAAGUGACACCAUAACCAGUCUGAGACUCAAGCUGGCAAAUGAAAGUGGAAUCCCAGCACAUGUCCUACAUUACAAAGGUGAAGAUUGUGAUGGUGACACUCUGCAAAGUUGUGGGAUCUCUGAAGACUCAACAGUUAACUUCUCUUUGUCAACCUUUUCUGAUGAGACUUCAUGCGAUGAGACAGUCUUCAUUAAUGAUGUUGUGCCUUCAGUCCAACAAACCCAGAAAGGAAUCAGUGUGUUCUUGUCUUCACUUUUUGCUGUUAAACAUCAUUAUUCAAAGGAGAAACUGAAGAAACUGAUUUCCUACAUAAGAAAACUGACUGGAUGUAACCCUCUUGCCCAAAGUUUGCAUCAGUUACUCUGCAGGAAUGAAACACUAACCAGGAAUCAGAAGAUUGCAGUUGUUGAAGGCUUGUACAUACUCUUCAGAGAGCUUUUACCUCAACGUAAAACACAGCAAGAGGAGAAACCCAUUGAAGACCUGGAUGUCUUUGAGAAUUCACUGUACUGCUGGGCACAUCUCUUAUCGGAAGCAAAGAAACUGGCAUCAGACCAGGAGAUCUACGCACCAAUCACUCUUACGUCUGAAGAUGGCAGCCGGUUCUCUGAACCAGUCAGAGUACCUGGAGUGCCUGGAACCUUUGAACGAGCAUAUGUUCGCCAGAAAAUCAAAGAUGGAGAGAAAAUUCCAAAUUGCACUGAAGAGGUUUUGCGAGAAACAUCAAUACAGAGAGCCAACGACAUUGAAAAAGUCUUGCUCAGCUUGCCUCCAUUCAUCAGGAAUUAUGCUCUUUGGAUUCACUAUGACAACACGGCUGGUCAGAACUUUCAGGUAAACAUGGAGAAGACCUUUGGAAGUAUGGUGGAAGAAUUAAAAUCUCCUGACAAUCAAUACAUCAAUGUGACCCCACCUCUACAUCUGAAGGAGCUAGGACAGUGCGUGUCACGCCUUGUUCUACUGAGUGAAGACAACAUUGGCGUAUAUUUGAAUAAAGAAAAAGGAUCCCCUGAUAUGAUCGUAGUGCAUGAUUGUUUGGAUGGCCAAAACAAAACCGUGGAUGUGAAUGAGUUGGCAGCCAGGACUGGAGACCAUAGCGAUGGCCGAACAUUUGUCACAACCAGGACCCCAAAAGAGGCUAUACUGGUGCUGAUAGACACAAGCUCGCAUGGAAGAGGAGUGCUAUGCAAGUGCAGAAAUCAAGAAGAUCGAUGCUGUGAAGGAGCUCUUUGACAACUUUGCAACAAGGACUAUGGCUUACGAUUUUUAUCAUGUCAUCGGCCUUAUGAAGUUCGACUCCCUGGUGAAAAUUCUCCACACGUUUACCGAAACUCUGGAAAUGUUCAAGGAACACGUACGCAACAUUGAGGCCAGUGGAUGUACUCUGCUGUAUGACGCCCUGCGACGUGGGGCAUGUGAGCUGGAAAAGGUCAAGACGAGGUUCCCAGAUUGUAGACUUCGCAUCAUUUGUCUCACUGAUGGAA